UGGGGAAUAUUGGACAAUGGGCGAAAGCCUGAUCCAGCCAUGCCGCGUGUGUGAAGAAGGUCUUCGGAUUGUAAAGCACUUUAAGUUGGGAGGAAGGGCAGUAAGCGAAUACCUUGCUGUUUUGACGUUACCGACAGAAUAAGCACCGGCUAACUCUGUGCCAGCAGCCGCGGUAAUACAGAGGGUGCAAGCGUUAAUCGGAUUUACUGGGCGUAAAGCGCGCGUAGGUGGUUCGUUAAGUUGAAUGUGAAAGCCCCGGGCUCAACCUGGGAACUGCAUCCAAAACUUGCGAGCUAGAGUAGGGCAGAGGGUGGUGGAAUUUCCUGUGUAGCGGUGAAAUGCGUAGAUAUAGGAAGGAACACCAGUGGCGAAGGCGACCACCUGGGCUCAUACUGACACUGAGGUGCGAAAGCGUGGGGAGCAAACAGG
rnacentral:rRNA from 1 species